rnacentral:rRNA from 1 species
GACAGAGGGUGCAAACGUUGUUCGGAAUUACUGGGCGUAAAGCGUGUGUAGGCGGCUACAUAAGUCGGAUGUGAAAGCCCCGGGCUCAACCCGGGAAGUGCACUCGAUACUGCGUAGCUUGAGUCUCGGAGAGGUUGGUGGAAUUCCUAGUGUAGAGGUGAAAUUCGUAGAUAUUAGGAAGAACACCAGUGGCGAAGGCGGCUCACUGGCCCGGUACUGACGCUGAGGCGCGAAAGCGUGGGGAGCAAACAGG